CCAACGGAAAGAAGGCAGAGGCCCGAAAAACGGGUGGAUGGCCACCUCCACGACCUCUGACAGAGGCUGAGGAGCUGGCCCUCUGCCAAAACAGGGGUCGCCCUGUGGCUGAAGGCAUCCCCGGGGGAAGCUCAUCUGAGCCUGUCACCCCCCAGGACACAAGUCCCUACAUCAGAUGCAAGUAUACACUUAUGUCUUUUAAAAAAAUAAAACUAAUAUAUAAAUAUAUAUAGCCUAAUUUUUAACAAAUAUAUAUCCACCCACCCAACAGUUGUGGAUGGUGUCAUCUGCCUGGUUCAGCCUCCGACAGAAACAAACCCUGUAGCUGUAAGUCUUCCAUACUCAGAUGCCUCAGAUGGUAGUUCAUAGUAUUCUGAAACAGUAUAUUUUCCUGCAUUACAGGAGGAGGAGGAGGAGGAUGAAGAAACACUGUCUGCUGCCACAGGGAGAGAUCCAGAGGGUCCUCCUGAAGUGUGUCUUAAUAUAUAGCUACUGGCAGUGCCCAUUCAUUUACAUUCUAGAGUGGAAUUUGGAGUUUGACAUGUACACUGAAUAGAUGAGCAUCAAUAAUGGAC